rnacentral:tRNA from 1 species
GCCCGUCUAGCUCAGUCCGGUUGAGAGCGCAAGACUCUUAAUCUUUGUGUCGUGGGUUGCGAGCCCCACGGUGGGUG